rnacentral:sRNA from 1 species
GUCGCUGACGAAUCAGCGAUCGGGUUUCGCAGCCCGGAUUAAUCAAGGCGCACAGCGCUCCGAAUUGUU